rnacentral:rRNA from 1 species
AAAAAACACACUGCCGAAGCUUUGGAAUUGAGAAUUCAAUUGGUAGAGGAGCAUUCUUAAAGGGACGAAGCAGUACCGAAAGGAGCUGUGGACUUUUAAGAAGAGAGAAUGCCGGAAUGAGUAGCGAGAGGAAGGUGGGAAUCCUUCCGGCCGAAUAUCUAAGGUUUCCAGAGUAAAGCUGAUCUGCUCUGGGUAAGUCGGGGCCUAAGGCGAGGUCGAAAGACGUAGUCGAUGGAUAACAGGUUGAAAUUCCUGUACUAUCCUGUAACAGAACUGUGGGGACACAGGCAGAGAGCGUGAGUCGGGAAUGGAAAGACCGGUACAAGCGAGGUAGGAGAAGAGUUGGCAAAUCCGCUUUUUAAUCUGAAGACGUGAUGUGGACUGAAAAUAAGUAGGGAAGCACGUGAGCUGACUGUCAAGAAAAGCCGCUAUUGUUUGCAGGAUACCCGUACCGUAAACCGACACAGGUGGAUGAGGAGAGAACCCUAAGGCCGACGGGAGAAGCAUUGUUAAGGAACUCGGCAAAAUGACUCCGUAACUUCGGGAGAAGGAGUGCCAGUAAGAUGGCCGCAGAGAAUUGGCCCAAGCAACUGUUUAGCAAAAACACAGGUCUAUGCAAAACCGAAAGGUGAGGUAUAUGGGCUGACGCCUGCCCGGUGCUGGAAGGUUAAGGGGAGAGGUUAGCGCAAGCGAAGCUUUGAACUUAAGCCCCAGUAAACGGCGGCCGUAACAAUAACGGUCCUAAGGUAGCGAAAUUCCUUGUCGGGUAAGUUCCGACCCGCACGAAAGGCGUAAUGAUUUGGGCACUGUCUCAACAAUGCACCCGGUGAAAUUGAAAUACCAGUGAAGAUGCUGGUUACCUGCGCCAGGACGGAAAGACCCCAUGGAGCUUUACUCCAGCUUGAUACUGGGAUUCGGUAUUGCAUGUACAGGAUAGGUGGGAGGCUAGGAAAUGGUAACGCCAGUUGCCAUGGAGCCGAUGUUGGGAUACCACCCUUGCAGUACUGGGUUUCUAACCAGCAGCCGUGAUCCGGCUGGGGGACAAUGUCAGGUGGGGAGUUUGACUGGGGCGGUCGCCUCCGAAAGGGUAUCGGAGGCGCUCAAAGGUUCCCUCAGAAUGGUUGGAAACCAUUCGAAGAGUGCAAAGGCAGAAGGGAGCUUGACUGCGACACCGACGGGUGGAGCAGGUACGAAAGUAGGACUUAGUGAUCCGGUGGUAUAAAGUGGGAUUGCCAUCGCUCAACGGAUAAAAGCUGCCCUGGGAUAACAGGCUUAUCACUCCCAAGAGUUCACAUCGACGGAGUGGUUUGGCACCUCGAUGUCGGCUCAUCGCAUCG